rnacentral:lncRNA from 1 species
GACUUACAAUUUCUUCAUCCUGUUCUUCAGGCGGGCUCCUAAACUUACAACUUCUUCACCCUGUUUUUUAGGCGGGCUCCUGAACUUACAACUUCUUCACCCUGUUCUUCAGGCGGGCUCCUGAACUUACAACUUCUUCACCCUAUUUUUCAGGUGGGCUCCCGGACUUGCUAUUUCUUCACCCUAUUCUUCAGGCGGGCUCCUGAACUUUCUACUUCUUUACCUUGUUCUUCAGGCGGUCUCCUGGAUUUACAACUUCUUUACCCUAUUUUUCAGGCGGGCUCCUGGACUUCCAAUUUCUUC